rnacentral:rRNA from 1 species
AACGAACGCUGGCGGCAUGCCUAACACAUGCAAGUCGAACGAGACCUUCGGGUCUAGUGGCGCACGGGUGCGUAACGCGUGGUAACCUGCCCUUAGGUUCGGAAUAACUCCCCGAAAGGGGUGCUAAUACCGGUUAAUGUCUUCUGACCAAAGAUUUAUCGCCUUUGGAUGGGCCCGCGUUGGAUUAGCUAGUUGGUAGGGUAAAAGCCUACCAAGGCGACGAUCCAUAGCUGGUAUGAGAGGAUGAUCAGCCACACUGGGACUGAGACACGGCCCAGAAUAGUACGGGAGGAAGCAGUGGGGAAUAUUGGAAAAUGGGCGAAAGCAUGAUCAAGCAAUGACGCGUGAGUGAUGAAGGCCUUAGGGUUGUAAAGCUCUUUUACACGGGAUGAUAAUGACAGUACCGGGAGAAUAAGCUCCGGCUAACUCCGUG